AGUAGAAGGAAUGGAAUAACAUUAAUUGCAAAAUACAAACUAUAAGACUUUUCCAAGGAUAACAACAUUGCAGAAAUUCUAGAUUGCUUUGGGUUUGGUGAUGAUUUUUUAGAUAUAACACCAAAAGCACAAUCCAUGAAAGAAAAAAAAUUUAAUAAGUUAGACUUCAUUAAAAUUAAAAUCUUCAGCUUUGUCACAGAUACUGCAAAGAGAAUGUAAAGAUAUCCACUUCCUGAGAGAAAAUCUUUGCAAAAACAUACCUGAUAAAGGAUUGGUAUCCAAAAUAUUCUAAGAACUUUAAAAAUUCAACAAUAAGACAACAGAGAAUCCAAUUAAAAAAUGGGUCAAAGGUUUGAACAGAAUUCGUCAUUGCUGGUAGUGGUGUGUGUGUGUGUGUGGGGGGGGGGUGGUUCUUUUCUCUAAAAAGGCUUUCUUCUUUAUUAAAAAAUGAUGCAAAUAAGGACCAUUCUUCCCCAGGUCUUGGAUAUUGCUGUAUGAAGAGGAGAUGCUCAGACCUUUUCCAUCUGCCUUGCAGUCAUGAGGAGACAACUAUUGUAAAUGAACAGAAAUCAAAGAGAAGGCAAGACUGCACACCCUGAAACUUCUUAUCAUCUGUAAUUAGCUCCUCAUGAGGAG
rnacentral:lncRNA from 1 species